AGAUUACUUGCAGGAGCGUGAGGUCCAGCUGGAAUCAUGAAGGGCAAGUAUGUGGAACUUACACCAGAAUAUAUUUACCCGUACAGAAACCAGGGUGGUUUUGAUAUGAUAUGUAGUGGAAGAGAUAAGAUUGAAACUCCAGAGCAGUUUCAACAAGCUGCAGAUACUGCCGCGAAG